UGGGGGAUUUUGCACAAUGGGCGCAAGCCUGAUGCAGCGACGCCGCGUGAGGGAUGAAGGCCUUCGGGUUGUAAACCUCUUUCGCUGGGUUGAAAGGCCUUGCUUUGGGUGUGGUUGAUUUGAACUGGUAAAGAAGUACCGGCUAACUACGUGCCAGCAUCCGCGGUAAUACGUAGGGUACUAGCGUUGUCCGGUUUUAUUGGGCGUAAAGGGCUUGUAGGUGGUUUGUCGCGUCUGUCGUGAAAUCCUGUGGCUUAACCAUGGGCUUGCGGUGGGUACGGGCAGGCUUGAGGGCGGUAGGGGAGACGGGAAAUCCUGGUGUAGCGGUGGAAUGCGCAGAUAUCAGGAGGAACACCGGUGGCGAAGGCGGGUCUCUGGGCCGUUACUGACACUGAGGAGCGAAAGCGUGGGGAGCGAACAGG
rnacentral:rRNA from 1 species